rnacentral:rRNA from 1 species
GCCAGAGGAAACUCUGGUGGAGGCUCGCAGCGGUUCUGACGUGCAAAUCGAUCGUCAAAUUUGGGUAUAGGGGCGAAAGACUAAUCGAACCAUCUAGUAGCUGGUUCCCUCCGAAGUUUCCCUCAGGAUAGCUGGAGUUGCACAGUUUUAUCAGGUAAAGCGAAUGAUUAGAGGAAUUGGGGACAGGUUUGUCCUUGACCUAUUCUCAAACUUUAAAUGGGUAAGAGCCAGGGGUUGCUUCGGUGAACCCCUCGGUCGAAUCGCGGUUGCAUGUGGGCCACCCGGGGUAAGCUCGGUUGGCGAUGCGGGAUGAUCCGAACGUUGAGUUAAAGUGCCCCACUACCCGCUCACCUAGAUCCCACAAAAGGUGUUGCUUCAUUUAGACAGCAGGACGGUGGUCAUGGAAGUCGAAAUCCGCUAAGGAGUGUGUAACAACUCACCUGCCGAAUGGACUAGCCCCGAAAAUGGAUGGCGCUCAAGCGGGUGACUGAUACCCAACCAUUGCUGCGAUUUUGCUGCAUCAAUGAGUAGGAGGGCAUGGGGGCUUGUGAUGAAGCUUUUGGCGUAAGCCUGGGUGAAACAGCUCCUAGUGCAGAUCUUGGUGGUAGUAGCAAAUAUUCAA